rnacentral:rRNA from 1 species
AGAGUUUGAUCCUGGCUCAGGACGAACGCUGGCGGCGGGCCUAACACAUGCAAGUCUAAGGAGAAUUUCGGAGCAAUCUGAAAGGACACUGGCGCACGGGUGAGUAACGCGUAGGUAACCUACCUUCUGCUGGGGGAUAACAUCGGGAAACCGGUGCUAAUACCGCAUAAUGCAGCGGUCACGCAUGUGGCAGUUGUUAAAGAAUUUCGGCAGAAGAUGGGCCUGCGUGUCAUUAGUUAGUUGGUAAGGUAACGGCUUACCAAGACGAUGAUGACUAGGGGGUCUGAGAGGAUGAUCCCCCACACUGGAACUGAGACACGGUCCAGACUCCUACGGGAGGCAGCAGUGAGGAAUCUUGCGCAAUGGGGGAAACCCUGACGCAGCCACGCCGCGUGCCAGAUGAAGGCCCUACGGGUCGUAAAUGGCUUUUGGUCGGGAAGAUAAGCCGGGUUUCGACCUGGUGUGACGGUACCGACUGAAUAAGCACCGGCUAACUCCGUGCCAGCAGCCGCGGUAAUACGGAGGGUGCAAGCGUUGUCCGGAAUCAUUGGGUGUAAAGGGUGCGUAGGCGGAUGUCUAAGUCUGGGGUGAAAUCUUGCAGCUUAACUGUAAAAUUGCCUUGGAUACUGGAUGUCUUGAGUACAGAAGAGGAUGGUGGAAUUCGUAGUGUAGCGGUGAAAUGCAUAGAUAUUACGAAGAACACCGGUGGCGAAAGCGGCCAUCUGGUCUGUUACUGACGCUGAGGCACGAAAGCGUGGGGAGCGAACAGGAUUAGAUACCCUGGUAGUCCACGCCGUAAACGAUGUGUGCUAGUUGUUGGCCUGUAUGGGCCAGUGACGUAGUUAACGCGCUAAGCACACCACCUGGGGAGUACGUUCGCAAGAUGAACUCAAGGAAUUGACGG